AAGUGGAGCAAUCCAUGAGUAAAGUGGCGACCGGGUGAGUAACACGUGACUAACCUACCUUUUAGUGGGGGAUAACCUCGGGAAACCGAGGCUAAUACCGCAUAACAUCGCAAGAUCAAAGCAGCAAUGCGCUGGAAGAGGGGGUCGCGGCUGAUUAGCUAGUUGGCGGGGUAACGGCCCACCAAGGCGAAGAUCGGUAGCCGGCCUGAGAGGGCGCACGGCCACACUGGAACUGAAACACGGUCCAGACUCCUACGGGAGGCAGCAGUGGGGAAUUUUGCGCAAUGGGGGAAACCCUGACGCAGCAACGCCGCGUGGAGGAUGAAGCCCCUUGGG
rnacentral:rRNA from 1 species